rnacentral:rRNA from 1 species
CAGAGCAGUACGGUUAACUAAAACUUAAAGAACUUGGCGGUUUUCUAGAUCUCCUUGGAGGAGCUUGUCAUCGAAUUGAUAACCCACAAGACACCUCACCAACUCAAGAUUAUCAGCUUGUAUACCAUCGUCGUCAGCUCACAUCAAAAGAGAGUAAGCCAAAUGGAAAAUACCCCCAACGUCAGAUCAAGGUGCAGCUAAUGAGCUGGGGAUAGAUGAGCUACUUUAUUCACAAAACAGAGGAAGUAACCAUGAAAAACUUACCGAAAAAGGAUUCAACAGUAACAAAGUAAAUAAAAACUCUGUGAACCAAGCUCUAGAAUGCGCACACACCGCCCGUCACCCUCCA